UAUUAUUACUUUGGCAGAUUAGUGUAAUAAAUUUAGAAUUUAUAGAUGUAAUUAUUUUACAAGUAAUA
rnacentral:tRNA from 1 species